CCUACGGGAGGCAGCAGUGAGGAAUAUUGGUCAAUGGACGAGAGUCUGAACCAGCCAAGUAGCGUGAAGGAUGACUGCCCUAUGGGUUGUAAACUUCUUUUAUAUGGGAAUAAAAUGUUCCACGUGUGGGAGUUUGUAUGUACCAUAUGAAUAAGGAUCGGCUAACUCCGUGCCAGCAGCCGCGGUAAUACGGAGGAUCCGAGCGUUAUCCGGAUUUAUUGGGUUUAAAGGGAGCGCAGGUGGAUUGUUAAGUCAGUUGUGAAAGUUUGCGGCUCAACCGUAAAAUUGCAGUUGAAACUGGCAGUCUUGAGUACAGGAGAGGUGGGCGGAAUGCGCGGUGUAGCGGUGAAAUGCUUAGAUAUCGCGAAGAACUCCGAUUGCGAAGGCAGCUCACUGGACUGCAACUGACACUGAGGCUCGAAAGUGUGGGUAUCAAACAGGAUUAGAUACCCGAGUAGUC
rnacentral:rRNA from 1 species